UUCGGAGCUAACGCGUUAAGUAGACCGCCUGGGGAGUACGGUCGCAAGAUUAAAACUCAAAUGAAUUGACGGGGGCCCGCACAAGCGGUGGAGCAUGUGGUUUAAUUCGAUGCAACGCGAAGAACCUUACCUACUCUUGACAUCCAGAGAAGCCAGCGGAGACGCAGGUGUGCCUUCGGGAACUCUGAGACAGGUGCUGCAUGGCUGUCGUCAGCUCGUGUCGUGAGAU
rnacentral:rRNA from 1 species